CUUGCUUCAUGCCUAACCCAGGGGCUGUCCUGGGUCUACCCCCCUGCUUGCUUUCCACCCAGAGACUCACCCACACCAGGGCGUACUUGAACUGGCUGGCGAGUGACCGGUGGAUGCGGUGGCACUGGAGGACAGGAGAGAGUCAGGUAGAGAGGUCUUCCAGGCCCUGGUGGGAGACCCAACGCCUCAGCCCAGCGUCCCUGGGGCGGAGGCCGGCGCCAGGCCUGCAGGAACACUUCCUUGACACAGAUGGGAAGGUGGCUGACUCUGGUCUGCAGAGGGGUUUUGUUUUACUCAGCUUGCCCAGCAUUGCCACUUGAUACAGAUCCCAAGAAGAAAUGAGCUAGAGGAAAACAACACCAGGAAAGCAUCAGCCCAGGAGGACGGCCAUGUGACCCGAAGGUCUUGUCAACUCACCACGUGCUCCACUGAGGCCCCUUUCCGGAGAAUGAUGGCGUCUGUGAAGUCUGGCCUCUCUGCAGGGCGGGAUGGGGAGAACGUCAGCCACACAUCAGGGCCCACACUGCCAUC